rnacentral:rRNA from 1 species
AUGAAGGACGCCAUGGAGGCGGCUAUUCCGAGGCAUAUUGUAUAUAUAACCGGUGUCACCGUUUGCAUCGUAUCAAAAAUAGCCAUUCCUGAGAUUAGCCACCUGCAAUAG